rnacentral:rRNA from 1 species
GUGCACGCAUCGACAGGCUCAACACAGGCAAUCGAGGGUAACAGGGAAGCUGCUCCGUGACGACCGGCGCACGGGUGCUAACGCUUGAAACUGCCUAACUGGGGGUAGCCCGAAGAAUUCGGAUAAUACCCCUAACACUACGAAUCGCUGAUUAGUAGUUAAAACUCCGGUGGUACAAGUGGUCAUGCGUGACAUUAGCUAGUUGGUAAGGUAACGGCUUACCAAGGCGACGAUGUCUAGGGGUUCUGAGAGGAGGGUCCCCCACACUGGUACUGAGACACGGACCAGACUCCUACGGGAGGCAGCAGUGAGGAAUAUUGGUCAAUGGACGCAAGUCUGAACCAGCCAUGUCGCGUGCAGGAAGACUGCCCUAUGGGUUGUAAACUGCUUUUAUACGGGAAGAAAUAUAGUUACGUGUAAUUAUUCGCCGGUACCGUAUGAAUAAGCAUCGGCUAACUCCGUGCCAGCAGCCGCGGUAAUACGGAGGAUGCGAGCGUUAUCCGGAUUCAUUGGGUUUAAAGGGUGCGUAGGCGGAAUAUUAAGUCAGGGGUGAAAGUUUGUGGCUCAACCAUAAAAUUGCCUUUGAUACUGGUAUUCUUGAGUACAUUUGAGGUAGGCGGAAUGUGUUGUGUAGCGGUGAAAUGCUUAGAUAUAACACAGAACACCGAUUGCGAAGGCAGCUUACUAAACUGUCACUGACGCUGAUGCACGAAAGCGUGGAGAUCGAACAGGAUUAGAUACCCUGGUAGUCCACGCCGUAACGAUGAUCACUAGUUGUUUGCAAUAGACCGUAAGCGACAAAGCGAAGCAUUAAGUGAUCCACCUGGGGAGUACGUUGGCAACAAUGAAACUCAAA